GGGUUGUGAGGUUAAGCGACUAAGCGUACACGGUGGAUGCCCUGGCAGUCAGAGGCGAUGAAGGACGUGCUAAUCUGCGAUAAGCGCCGGUAAGGUGAUAUGAACCGUUAUAACCGGCGAUUUCCGAAUGGGGAAACCCAGUGUGAUUCGUCACACUAUCAUUAACUGAAUCCAUAGGUUAAUGAGGCGAACCGGGGGAACUGAAACAUCUAAGUACCCCGAGGAAAAGAAAUCAACCGAGAUUCCCCCAGUAGCGGCGAGCGAACGGGGAGGAGCCCAGAGCCUGAAUCAGCAUGUGUGUUAGUGGAAGCGUCUGGAAAGGCGCGCGAUACAGGGUGACAGCCCCGUACACAAAAGCGCAUGUGCUGUGAGCUCGAUGAGUAGGGCGGGACACGUGGUAUCCUGUCUGAAUAUGGGGGGACCAUCCUCCAAGGCUAAAUACUCCUGACUGACCGAUAGUGAACCAGUACCGUGAGGGAAAGGCGAAAAGAACCCCGGCGAGGGGAGUGAAAAAGAACCUGAAACCGUGUACGUACAAGCAGUGGGAGCCCCACCACCAAAGCAUUCUCUGGUGUUGAAGGCCCUGCAAAGCAGCAUCGCGGUGGCGGAGCGUCGUUUGCGACGCCCAACACACAAAACAAGCGGUGAGUGCUUUGGGGUGGGGUGACUGCGUACCUUUUGUAUAAUGGGUCAGCGACUUAUAUUCUGUAGCAAGGUUAACCGUAUAGGGGAGCCGUAGGGAAACCGAGUCUUAACCGGGCGUUAAGUUGCAGGGUAUAGACCCGAAACCCGGUGAUCUAGCCAUGGGCAGGUUGAAGGUUGGGUAACACUAACUGGAGGACCGAACCGACUAAUGUUGAAAAAUUAGCGGAUGACCUGUGGCUGGGGGUGAAAGGCCAAUCAAACCGGGAGAUAGCUGGUUCUCCCCGAAAGCUAUUUAGGUAGCGCCUCGUGAAUUCAUCUCCGGGGGUAGAGCACUGUUUCGGCUAGGGGGCCAUCCCGGCUUACCAACCCGAUGCAAACUGCGAAUACCGGAGAAUGUUAUCACGGGAGACACACGGCGGGUGCUAACGUCCGUCGUGAAGAGGGAAACAACCCAGACCGCCAGCUAAGGUCCCAAAGUCAUGGUUAAGUGGGAAACGAUGUGGGAAGGCCCAGACAGCCAGGAUGUUGGCUUAGAAGCAGCCAUCAUUUAAAGAAAGCGUAAUAGCUCACUGGUCGAGUCGGCCUGCGCGGAAGAUGUAACGGGGCUAAACCAUGCACCGAAGCUGCGGCAGCGACGCUGAUGCGUUGUUGGGUAGGGGAGCGUUCUGUAAGCCUGUGAAGGUGGCCUGUGAGGGUUGCUGGAGGUAUCAGAAGUGCGAAUGCUGACAUAAGUAACGAUAAAGCGGGUGAAAAGCCCGCUCGCCGGAAGACCAAGGGUUCCUGUCCAACGUUAAUCGGGGCAGGGUGAGUCGACCCCUAAGGCGAGGCCGAAAGGCGUAGUCGAUGGGAAACGGGUUAAUAUUCCCGUACUUGGUGUUACUGCGAAGGGGGGACGGAGAAGGCUAUGUUGGCCGGGCGACGGUUGUCCCGGUUUAAGCGUGUAGGUGUGUGUUCCAGGUAAAUCCGGUUCACUUUAACACUGAGGCGUGAUGACGAGGCACUACGGUGCUGAAGCAACAAAUGCCCUGCUUCCAGGAAAAGCCUCUAAGCAUCAGGUAACAUCAAAUCGUACCCCAAACCGACACAGGUGGUCAGGUAGAGAAUACCAAGGCGCUUGAGAGAACUCGGGUGAAGGAACUAGGCAAAAUGGUGCCGUAACUUCGGGAGAAGGCACGCUGACACGUAGGUGAAGUGAUUUACUCAUGGAGCUGAAGUCAGUCGAAGAUACCAGCUGGCUGCAACUGUUUAUUAAAAACACAGCACUGUGCAAACACGAAAGUGGACGUAUACGGUGUGACGCCUGCCCGGUGCCGGAAGGUUAAUUGAUGGGGUCAGCGCAAGCGAAGCUCCUGAUCGAAGCCCCGGUAAACGGCGGCCGUAACUAUAACGGUCCUAAGGUAGCGAAAUUCCUUGUCGGGUAAGUUCCGACCUGCACGAAUGGCGUAAUGAUGGCCAGGCUGUCUCCACCCGAGACUCAGUGAAAUUGAACUCGCUGUGAAGAUGCAGUGUACCCGCGGCAAGACGGAAAGACCCCGUGAACCUUUACUAUAGCUUGACACUGAACAUUGAGCCUUGAUGUGUAGGAUAGGUGGGAGGCUUUGAAGCGUGGACGCCAGUCUGCAUGGAGCCGGCCUUGAAAUACCACCCUUUAAUGUUUGAUGUUCUAACGUGGACCCGUGAUCCGGGUUGCGGACAGUGUCUGGUGGGUAGUUUGACUGGGGCGGUCUCCUCCUAAAGAGUAACGGAGGAGCACGAAGGUUGGCUAAUCCUGGUCGGACAUCAGGAGGUUAGUGCAAUGGCAUAAGCCAGCUUGACUGCGAGCGUGACGGCGCGAGCAGGUGCGAAAGCAGGUCAUAGUGAUCCGGUGGUUCUGAAUGGAAGGGCCAUCGCUCAACGGAUAAAAGGUACUCCGGGGAUAACAGGCUGAUACCGCCCAAGAGUUCAUAUCGACGGCGGUGUUUGGCACCUCGAUGUCGGCUCAUCACAUCCUGGGGCUGAAGUAGGUCCCAAGGGUAUGGCUGUUCGCCAUUUAAAGUGGUACGCGAGCUGGGUUUAGAACGUCGUGAGACAGUUCGGUCCCUAUCUGCCGUGGGCGCUGGAGAACUGAGGGGGGCUGCUCCUAGUACGAGAGGACCGGAGUGGACGCAUCACUGGUGUUCGGGUUGUCAUGCCAAUGGCACUGCCCGGUAGCUAAAUGCGGAAGAGAUAAGUGCUGAAAGCAUCUAAGCACGAAACUUGCCCCGAGAUGAGUUCUCCCUGAGACUUAGAGUCUCCUGAAGGAACGUUGAAGACGACGACGUUGAUAGGCCGGGUGUGUAAGCGCAGCGAUGCGUUGAGCUAACCGGUACUAAUGAACCGUGAGGCUUAACCUUACAACGCCGAAG
rnacentral:rRNA from 2 species